UUGGCUUUGCUGUCUUCCCCACUCCGGGGCCCAAGCAAAGGAGUAUGAGAGACCAUCUUUCCUAGGAUGCACUGCGGUCCAUUCAGCUUCACUUCCUCUUCAGGCGGAGGAAGGAUACGGGGAAGCUUUCUGGUUAAAGCCGAGUUACAGGGUAUGGGUGUCGGAAGCAGAGGGUCUGCAGUUCACGCCGUCUAGAAGGGGAGGGAAAUGAAAGGCUCUCAGUGAGAAGAGUGUACAUAAUGUGCUCGAAUACAUCGUCUCGUCCUCACACCAGUCCUGCGAUACCUUUACCAGCAUGUAUCCUGACCGGGGAUCAGACUGCCAGGGCAUGUGCUCUGACCAGGAAUCGAACCGGCGACCUUUCAGUACACAAGAUGAUGCUCAACCAAUUGAGCUACAGUGACCAAGGUCUUCUCAGAAGCCUUCUUUGCUGAUGACAUUGUGACUCUUUCCAGAGAGCAGCAGUGAUGGCUCCAGAAUGUCUAGGGAGAGGAAGAGCUUAGUGUCAAGAGUCUGCUCACAGCACAAGAUACUCUAGGAUGUGUCCUUCAGCUACAUCUGUUUUGCACACUUUUAUUUAGAGCUAUACCAGGUAAAAAUGCAUUGGCACAUAAAAACCUGCACAUGGAGUUUAUAGCAGCUUUAUUCGUAAGUGCCAAAACUUGGAAGCAACCAUGAUGUCCUUCAUUAGGUGAAUGGAUGAACUGUGAUACAAAGGAAGAUUAUUCAGUGCUAAAAAGAAAUGAGCUAUUAGGCCAUGAAAACGUAAGGGGAGUCUUAAAUGCAUAUUAUUAUUGGAAGUUCAUCUGAAAAGUUUAUAUAUACUGUAUGAUUCCAAUGAUGUGACAUUCUAGAAAAGGCAAAACUUGGAUACAGUAAAAAGAUACGGUUACCAGGGGUAGAAGGAAGGGAGGGAUGAACAGGCAGAGGCGUUUUAGGGGAGUGAAACUAUUCUGUCUGGUGCUAUAAUGAUGGAUGCAUGUAGUUAUACAUUUAUCCAAACCCAUAAAACCCAGUGAACCCUAAUGUAGACUAUCGUCUUUGGGUGAUAAUGAUGUAUCAAUGUAGAUUCACUAAUUGUAACAGAUAUACCACUAUGAUGGGAGAUGUCCGUAGUAGGGGAGGUUGUGUAUGUGUGGGACAAAAGGUAUGUGGGAACUCUGUAAACCUAAAACUGCUGUAAAAAAUAAAAUGUACUUUUAACAUGCUUUGAAAAUUACAAUAUACUUUAAAAUGUAAAAUAUUAUAAUAGUGUAUGUAGUAAGUUUUUGUUAACCUCAUUUUAUAACUGUUUAAGUCCCCCAUGCCCUUGACCUUGACUUUCUGCCUGUAACCUCCUCCUUUCCUUAUCAAGUGUAAAUGUCAUGGCCUUCACUCAGGCUGUCUUCCUCAGCUUUAUUGUCAUUUUCUUGAGCCUUCGCAACCCAGGUUCAGUCCAGCUGACUGCCUCUGCCAUGGCUGUACCAGGGCUGCAGAGCUUUGCUGGGGAAGAGUCACAAUGGUGAAGUUGAUGUCUACUAUAUGACCUGCAGCCCCUACAUCAGCUCAUCCCUCCGCGUGUCCUGCAACUGUGUUCUCAGAUCAGAGUUUUCUACUUCAAACAUAUAUAAGUAAGUUUUAACUGUAGUUUUCUGUUUUGGAUAUUGUACUAUUUUGAAUAAAUAUGUUCAAAGUUUUGUGCCAUUUCUCUUUUUUUUUGUAACUUGUGAUAUUUAU